rnacentral:lncRNA from 1 species
CGUGUAUUAUCUGAUCUGACACGUGCUGGUAAGUGACGCGCGAAUCGCGAGCCAGGUCAAACAGACGUUUCGUCAAGACUGUUCGCCGCACACACAAAAAAAGGGCUUCGUCAAGACGUCAGAGCAUCCAACGCGCACAAAGCAUCCUGUGGAAUUUCGAGCAGCCAGUGGUCGCCGUGCAGUUCAGUUCCCCCUCCUUUUGCCUGAAGUCAGCGUUUUGAGCUUUAGGCCUUUAACUUACUCCUCCUACUCCGUUGAGAAACUGAAAGUCAACUAGGGCCGCUGCGCGAGCACCAAGUACUACGGAGGCGCCCACGCCGGCUCCUUCCUUCGUCGCCUGGCGCGGUCGUCCGUGCGAGCAGCAGCAUGGACAUGGACCUUUCCGAUGCCUCCGGGGGCAUGGCACGACGCCACGACCACCUGAAUAGAAUAGAUCAAUAGAGUACUGCGCGCGUUUGCAAAUAGUCAAACAGCCUCCUAUUUCCCUCGGAGACAUCAUAUCAUACGACGCACAUCACCCUGCAGUCAGUCACUACACGUACAAAGACCAUGUCAGUAUUUUGUUUUUGUAAGUAGCACUACAACGGAUAAGGCCGGUGCGUGUGGCGAUGGAAACAGCUGAACCCGGAACGGGUCAUGUUCUGGCCUUUGGCCGAUCCGUCCGUCCAGCCGCGCGCGGAACCAGCUCGAGAUGGCGAGGGGCCAUGCGCUCGUUGGCUUUUGCCCGCGGCUCGCUCCAUGCCUCUCGGCGAGGCAGAGGGGC